CUGCUCGUUAUGAAUUCACUCAUGAAAUUCUUAGAGAUGAGGAGUCCUUUUUCGAUGGAAGGAAGGUCGAGAGGGAACGAAGGAUCUCUGUCAUCUGCCGAAACCUGCCCUUACCACCAGAACCAUCCUAGAACUGACAGUAUUCAAAUGUAUCACAUGCGCUGAAACUCAAAAUAGUGAACUUGGUGAAGCAGACAGAUGUUCUCCAGCGCUAUGAAUUCUUUCUAUAAAAAGUGUUUGACUGAAAAAGAAAAUUACACCUUUGAUGCUUGUAACCAUCACAUACGUAGAUGAGAGCGGGGCCUAAGCUAAUUGCCCCAUUAUUUCCUUAUAAAAUGUAUUGCCAAUUUUUCAAAGAGUAAAGAAAGUACUUGAAUUUUUAAUUGUCUCGCAAUCGAUGCUGAAACUGAAUAUGUUUUGUCAUUUCUGUGAAUUAAAUAAUUUCAGAAUGAUUCUGAUAGGUGUCAUAAGCACAAGAUUAGCCUUAAUGUUAUGUACCUAAACAUAAAUUUAAAAAAGCCAAAUUGGAUCUCUCUAAAUGAGGAUUUCACUGUGGUGGGUGUUCAGGGAGUGGGAGUAGGAGAAAUUUCCACAUUUUGACUUGCGGCUUCAAAAUGCUGAAGAGAAAAGAGGUAAAAUGAAGAAGUGGAAGACAAGUGAACAAUCUUGAUUAUUAAAAAAAAGGAAGUGUUGAGGAAUGUGAAAAUAGGUAGUACUUACCUUUGAAUAAUUUGGGAUGGGGUGAAAUAUGAAAUAUGAAUCCGUGAUCUCCUAUUGCUCAGGAGUAGAAUCCAAUUCUAUUUACAACACACAACACCUGAUUCUGUAUGGCCCUAUCUCUUCUCUGUGGUUUUUAAAAAUUAUUCCUCUCCCCAUUUCCUAAAAAAAUAAACCUCUUGAAACCCUAA